AACGUAGGAGACAAACGUUAUCCGGAGUUACUGGGCGUAAAGGGCGUGUAGGUGGUUUCGUAAGUCUGGCGUGAAAUAUCUCGGCUUAACCGAGGCAGGUCGUCGGAUACUGCGGAACUAGAGGACGGUAGAGGCGUGUGGAAUUCCGGGUGUAGUGGUGAAAUGCGUAGAGAUCCGGAGGAACCCCAGAGGCGAAGGCGGCGCUCUGGCUCGCGACUGACGCUCAGACACGACAGCAUGGGGAGCGAACGGG
rnacentral:rRNA from 1 species